GAUGAACGCUGGCGGCGUGCCUAAUACAUGCAAGUCGAGCGAACAGAUGAGGAGCUUGCUCCUCUGACGUUAGCGGCGGACGGGUGAGUAACACGUGGAUAACCUACCUAUAAGACUGGGAUAACUUCGGGAAACCGGAGCUAUUCCCGGAUAAUAUAUUGAACCGCAUGGUUCAAUAGUGAAAGACGGUUUUGCUGUCACUUAUAGAUGGAUCCGCGCCGCAUUAGCUAGUUGGUAAGGUAACGGCCUACCAAGGCGACGAUGCGUAGCCGACCUGAGAGGGUGAUCGGCCACACUGGAACUGAGACACGGUCCAGACUCCUACGGGAGGCAGCAGUAGGGAAUCUUCCGCAAUGGGCGAAAGCCUGACGGAGCAACGCCGCGUGAGUGAUGAAGGUCUUCGGAUCGUAAACCGCUGUUAUUAGGGAAGAACAAAUGUGUAAGUAACUAUGCACGUCUUGACGGUACCUAAUCAGAAAGCCACGGCUAACUACGUG
rnacentral:rRNA from 1 species